rnacentral:rRNA from 1 species
GAUUUCUGGCUUGGUGCGCCUGGCCCGCUACCGUUAGGUAUGUGAGUGCUGGGUCGCGCCUGCCAUCCUUCUAGAGAACGUCUCUACUCUUCAUUGAGCCGGGGUCGCAAUCUAGAUCUUUUACUUUGAAAAAAUUAGAGUGUUUAAAGCAGGCUUUUGCUAUGAAUACAUUAGCAUGGAAUAAUAAUUUAGGACUUCGGUUCUAUUUUGUUGGUUUCUAGGACUGAAGUAAUGAUUGAUAGGGAUAGUUGGGGGUGCUAGUAUUCAGCGGCCAGAGGUGAAAUUCUCGGAUUCGCUGAAGACUAACUUAUGCGAAAGCAUU